rnacentral:lncRNA from 1 species
CAGGUUCAAAUACUAUUUCAAAUGAGUUAUAAUACGUUAUAUGUGCUUGAUUGAGCUUGCCUGGCUUAAUGAGCCAAUAGAGAAGUCCCAAAACUGCAAACUCCAUGCUCUGCUGACGUGAUGUCAUGUCCUGUGUUUACUCUGGGUGAUAGACAGUACAGCCUGUCAUGUCCUGUGUUUACUCUGGGUGAUAGACAGUACAGCCUGUCAGGUCCUGUGUUUACUCUGGGUGAUAAGACAGUACAGCCUGGCAGGUCCUGUGUUUACUCUGGGUGAUAGACAGUACCGCCUCUCAGGUCCUGUGUUUACUCUGGGUGAUAAGACGGUACAUCCUGUCAGGUCCUGUGUUUACUCUGGGUGAUGUAGUGGACAGUACAGCCUGGCAGGUCCUGUGUUUACUCUGGGUGAUAGACAGUACAUCCUGUCAGGUCCUGUGUUUACUCUGGGUGAUGUAGUAGACAGUACAGCCUGUCAGGUCCUGUGUUUACUCUGGGUGAUAGACAGUACAUCCUGUCAGGUCCUGUGUUUACUCUGGGUGAUGUAGUAGACAGUACAGCCUGUCAGGUCCUGUGUUUACUCUGGGUGAUAGACAGUACAGCCUGUCAGGUCCUGUGUUUACUCUGGGUGAUAGAAGGUACAGCCUGUCAGGCCCUGUGUUUACUCUGGGUGAUGUAGUAGACAGUACAGCCUGGCAGGUCCUGUGUUUACUCUGGGUGAUAAGACAGUACAGCCUGUCAUGUCCUGUGUUUACUCUGGGUGAUGUAGUAGACAGUACAGCCUGUCAUGUCAUGUGUUUACUCUGGGUGAUAGACAGUACAGCCUGUCAGGUCCUGUGUUUACUCUGGGUGAUGUAGUAGACAGUACAGCCUGGCAGGUCCUGUGUUUACUCUGGGUGAUAGACAGUACAGCCUGUCAGGCCCUGUAUUUACUCUGGGUGAUGUAGUAGACAGUACAGCCUGUCAGGUCCUCACUCUGG